rnacentral:tRNA from 1 species
UAGGGAGACCUACCCUCUUAGGAUUGUGAGGAGUCAGGAGUGAGGAGUGAGGAGAAAUCCAAAGCUUCAAGUUACUGAAUCAUAAUUACAUCUUGAGAAGGUUAUCCCAAGGUCGUUCGAGAAUAAGUGUUGACUUCCAAACUAUCGACUUGGUUGGGUAAAUGGGCUAUUAGCUCAGGUGGUUAGAGCGCACCCCUGAUAAGGGUGAGGUCCCUGGUUCGAGUCCAGGAUGGCCCACCAAUACUUAUUAGCGGGGGUUUAGCUCAGUUGGUAGAGCGCCUGCUUUGCAAGCAGGAUGUCAACGGUUCGAGUCCGUUAACCUCCACUCGUCAAUUAUCCACCCAUUACUCAUUCAUCUGAAGGGCAAAAGAUUCAGCAACUCGUUUAGGUCAAACUAGAGAGCCUGCUGGAGAUUUCCAGCCAGAACCAUGAAAACUGCAUA